rnacentral:lncRNA from 1 species
GCACUAGAUCUCCCAGAGUGCCACUGACAGAGUUAAACACUGCCCAUAGGUGUUUAGUUAAGUAUUAGCAGUUAAGGAUUUUUUAAAAAUGGGAAGGAAGGAAGGAAGGAAGGGAGGAAGGAAGGAAGGAAGGGAGGAAGGAAGGAAGGAAGGAAGGAAGGAAGGAAGGAAGGAAGGAAGGAAGGAAGGAAGGAAGGAAGGAAGGAAGGAAGGAAGGAAGGAAGGAAGGAAGGAAGGAAGGAAGGAAGGAAGGAAGACUUAGGCAGAAAUAGAAGAGAAAUAGAUUCAUAUGAUGAAAACUGGAAGAGUCUUAAGGAGCCACAUCCAAUCUUUGUGUUCCACCCUUCCAGAUCUCUUUUACUCUCUACUCUUUCUCUUCUCCCAGAGCCCCUUUCUGCCCAGGAAAUGUGGAACUACUUAAUAGAAAAUGCCAGUGGCAAAACUUGCUAUUUCAGUUUUCCAAAGGACAGCAGCUGGCAGACUUCACCAAAUGGGUUUCCCUCCUCCCCAACUGCUCAACUAUCUUCUAUACUAUCGCCUAAGGUCAUACAGCAAACCAAAGGGAGAGGGCAACUCUAUUCGUAGCUCCCCUCCAGAUUUCCCCCCAAAUGGAAAAAGAAAAUCAUAGUCCUUAUGACAAAUAACCAGUCAGCAAAUCAAAUCUCCACAUUGAUCAUGUUCAAAAAUGUGUCUCCUCUGAACCUUGAAUCCAUCUUCUUUCUAACAGGAAGUGGCUAGCAUACUUCCUUAUCAGUGUUCUGAAGUGGAAGUUGGUCAUUGACCUGAUUAGAGUUCUCAAAAAAAAAUUAUGUUCUAAAGUCCAGGUAUCACUGACCUCAAAAUGCCAAAGCGUGCUCCUGCUUUCCCCAACAGUACAUUUAGAAAAUGUGAUACUAUAGGGAGUGAAGAAAUAGGGCAACGUAGCCUAUACUGGAUAACUGUUUUCCUCCAGGAUUUCACCAGACAGCAUUUGGAGCUUCCAUCAAUUCGCCCCUUCACUCCCUCCUACUCCUAAUCCAUCUAAGAAAGCCUGGAGUUGCUUCAGUAGCAAUGCUAAUUUCACUGUGCCUUCUCCUGGUGGUCCUAGAAUAUCUCUCAGGACAAACGCUCUAUGUCCCCUUGGCCACCCAGUGACACUUUCUUCUGCAGAAUCUAUUGUGUGCUCAGAAACUUGCCAUUAUAAUGCAGCGCCUGACCUGGAUUUCUAAUCACAGAGAGCUCCACUGCUAUUCCUGCAGCAGAGGAAGAACACAGUCCUUUCUGCUAUACUUUCUACAAGUCCCAGCCAUCCCCUGGAGCUGCAAAUGUCAUCCUUAACUGACAUUAAAAAAUCAGGUUCCUCUUCUUCCAUCUCAGACUUAAUUUGAAAUUGAAAAAGAUUUUAUAUACUUAGAAUACUUUGUAUGCACCAUAUGUAUUUAACAAAAAUCAAAGCCAGUCCUUGGAACACAUGCUACCACUACACAAGCUGCCGUUUGUUGGGGACACCAAAAUAAAAUAUUUCCACCCAAGUUCUGCUUCUACA